AUUGAACGCUGGCGGCAUGCCUUACACAUGCAAGUCGAACGGCAGCGCGGGAGCAAUCCUGGCGGCGAGUGGCGAACGGGUGAGUAAUACAUCGGAACGUGCCCAAUCGUGGGGGAUAACGCAGCGAAAGCUGUGCUAAUACCGCAUACGAUCUACGGAUGAAAGCAGGGGAUCGCAAGACCUUGCGCGAAUGGAGCGGCCGAUGGCAGAUUAGGUAGUUGGUGAGGUAAAGGCUCACCAAGCCUUCGAUCUGUAGCUGGUCUGAGAGGACGACCAGCCACACUGGGACUGAGACACGGCCCAGACUCCUACGGGAGGCAGCAGUGGGGAAUUUUGGACAAUGGGCGAAAGCCUGAUCCAGCCAUGCCGCGUGCAGGAUGAAGGCCUUCGGGUUGUAAACUGCUUUUGUACGGAACGAAA
rnacentral:rRNA from 1 species